rnacentral:rRNA from 1 species
CCUACGGGAGGCAGCAGUGGGGGAUAUUGCACAAUGGGGGGAACCCUGAUGCAGCGACGCCGCGUGGGUGAAGGAGUGCUUCGGCAUGUAAAGCACUAUCGACAGGGACGAAGCAAGACGGUACCUGACUAAGAAGCCCCGGCUAACUACGUGCCAGCAGCCGCGGUAAUACGUAGGGGGCGAGCGUUAUCCGGAUUCACUGGGUGUAAAGGGAGCGUAGACGGCAAUGCAAGCCAGGUGUGAAAGCCCUGGGCCUAACCCGGGGAAUGCCCGUGGGACUGCAUGGCUGGAGUGCGGGAGGGGCAGGCGGAAUUCCGGGUGUAGCGGUGAAAUGCGUAGAUGUCAGGAGGAACACCGGUGGCGAAGGCAGCCUGCUGGACCGCGACUGACGUUGAGGCUCGAAAGCGUGGGGAGCGAACAGGAUUAGAUACCCCGGUAGUC